rnacentral:rRNA from 1 species
CCAGACUCCUACGGGAGGCAGCAGUGGGGGAUAUUGCACAAUGGGGGGAACCCUGAUGCAGCAACGCCGCGUGAGUGAGGAAGUAUUUCGGUAUGUAAAGCUCUAUCAGCAGGGAAUAGAAAAGAAGGUACCUGAAAAAGAAGCCCCGGCUAACUACGUGCCAGCAGCCGCGGUAAUACGUAGGGGGCAAGCGUUAUCCGGAUUUACUGGGUGUAAAGGGAGCGUAGACGGAAAGGCAAGUCAGAAGUGAAAGCCCAAGGCUCAACCAUGGGACUGCUCUUGGAACUGCGCGGCUGGAGUGCAGGAGGGGCAGGCGGAAUUCCUGGUGUAGCGGUGAAAUGCGUAGAUAUCAGGAGGAACACCGGUGGCGAAGGCGGCCUGCUGGACUGCGACUGACGUUGAGGCCCGAAAGCGUGGGGAGCAAACAGGAUUAGAUACCCCGGUAGA